AAAAGAAGUUUUGCUGGUAAGAUGAUUUGCCAAUGGAGGGAGAAUCUGGUGACUUCUCAGCCGGCACUAAAAUUUGCUGUUUCUAUACAAGUGUUUUAACAUACAACCACAGAUGUUGGUCAUGCUACACUUUCUAAUUGAUGCAAGUUUAUGUUGAUUGCAAAGGAACACAGACCUUAUUGUAAGGAAAUUAUUGUGUGACUACUAUUGCUCUUAAAUCAUGUGGUUUCAGGUUUGGCUUUUCCAAUUUUACGCUUUUUCCUUGUGUAUGUAUUUGUCUAAUAUGAAUGGACGUGAGAAUUGUUAAGGGCUCCGCAUAUUCAUAGAUUUUACAUAUCAUCUGGGUGCUUAGUUUUGUACAAUGGUCUGUCAGCAGCUGCCCAUUUCUGUUGCUUAGGAUUUAGGAUUACCUGUCUACUAUUUAUUCAGGGUACUGGUGUGCAUUUCACUUUUCCCAUAAAAAUGGGUCUUCUUGGAGGAUAUGACUCGACAAAUUCUUGAUGUUUUUCAGUUACUAAAUAGAAAGUUGUGCUUAUUUUACAAUUGUAGAAUAUGGAAAGUUGUGUUUAUUUUACAGUUGUAGAAUAUGGACUUGCCGAAGGUGUUUUGAGUGGCUUACAUGGGUCGUGACUCAUGAUUCAUUUCUGCUUAAGAUUUUGGAAGAAAAUGCUCAUGAGUAACUUCUGAGCUUGUAUGUGACAGCUAUGG
rnacentral:misc_RNA from 1 species